UGGGGAAUUUUGGACAAUGGGCGCAAGCCUGAUCCAGCCAUGCCGCGUGAGUGAAGAAGGCCUUCGGGUUGUAAAGCUCUUUCGGCAGGAACGAAAUGGUCCGUGCUAAUACCACGGAUUGAUGACGGUACCUGAAGAAGAAGCACCGGCUAACUACGUGCCAGCAGCCGCGGUAAUACGUAGGGUGCAGGCGUUAAUCGGAAUUACUGGGCGUAAAGCGUGCGCAGGCGGUUUCUUAAGUCAGAUGUGAAAGCCCCGGGCUUAACCUGGGAACUGCGUUUGAAACUGGGAGACUUGAGUGUAGCAGAGGGGGGUGGAAUUCCACGUGUAGCAGUGAAAUGCGUAGAUAUGUGGAGGAACACCGAUGGCGAAGGCAACCCCCUGGGUUAACACUGACGCUCAUGCACGAAAGCGUGGGGAGCAAACAGG
rnacentral:rRNA from 1 species